rnacentral:tRNA from 2 species
GUAGUUAUGUCAGAUUAAUGAGUUAGCUUUAAGCGUUAAUUAUGGAAAGUUUUUCCUGACUACU